UUUGAUCAAAUAACGAAUCAGGCUCUCAAGUUUGGGCAAACUAAAAAAGAUCCGUCAAGCUCAAAAUUCCAUAACAAAAUUAUCUAGAUAAAUGUAAUUGGAUUGAUUCAUACAUGAGCUCCUAUGUUGGGAAAGUUAUUUAAAAAUAUUUUUGCUGAAUCUAGAUAUGGUUUUGAAGAAAAGAAAAAGAGACUGCUCGUCUAUGGAAGAUGAUGACCAACACUUUCCUUUCCUAUUUUUGGUUGUCCUUAUACUGCCGCAGCAAUCAAAUCUUUAAUCUUGACAGGCAAGUCGGACCAGAGGUUUCUGAUAUAAUAUGGGCAUCAGAGGACAAAUUCAGUAGCAAAUCUGCAAGAUUCUAGGUAAUAUAUGAUUAUGCAGGUGUAUCUGUACAGUUUAUAUACUCUUCAAUCUCGUCUUUCUGUACAGUUUAUAUACUCUUCAAUCUCGUCUUUCACAAUUACAUGUUACUGCACAGUUUAUAUACAAGACUGGUAUUCUCCCAUGUGAAAGACGGAAGUUUUGGAGAGGCGGUGAGAAGGCCAGAUAGAAGACCAACAAUGAAGGCACUGUUAUAAGUGGUUGGUUCUGCUUGGAUAGAAUUGUUUCGGGAAUCAAUGUAGGUGUCAUUGAGAAAUGGUCCACCAACAAGAGCUCCAGUUGCUAUGUUUGGAUUUGGAGAUGGUGAAUGAAGCCACUUGAACCCAUCCUUGCAACCUGUAUUAGCAUCUGCUAGAAUUGAAGCUCCCCAAUGAUGUACAUAUUUGGGGUAGUCACUGCUAUAUCCAACGAGGUAGCUCAUUUACAUUGGAUUACUUCCCAGAACA